rnacentral:misc_RNA from 1 species
AAAGUCGUAACAAGGUUUCCGUAGGUGAACCUGCGGAAGGAUCAUUACAAAUCCAUCGCGUCUCUCUCCCGAGACACCGUCUAAACGUUCCGGGGAUCACAUCGAGCCACUGCCUGCCCGCCUGCUCGUCCACUGGUGCGCCUAGCGCGCUGGCUGGCUGGUUGGUGGGGAUGGCUGGCUUGAUGCCCCGACCCCCUUUAUAACCUAGUGUGACUGUUGCUUCAUAUGUAUUGCUUCUUUGUUGAACACAACAUGAGAACAACUUAUAACAAUGGAUCUCUAGGCUCUU